GACUCUCGGCAACGGAUAUCUCGGGCUCACGCAUCGAUGAAGAACGUAGCAAAAUGCGAUACUUGGUGUGAAUUGCAGAAUCCCGUGAACCAUCGAGUUUUUGAACGCAAGUUGCGCCCGAAGCCAUUCGGUUGAGGGCACGUCUGCCUGGGGCGUCA
rnacentral:rRNA from 11 species